UACGUAGGGUGCGAGCGUUACUCGGAAUUACUGGGCGUAAAGCGUGCGCAGGCGGUUAUGUAAGACAGAUGUGAAAUCCCCGGGCUUAACCUGGGAACUGCAUUUGUGACUGCAUAGCUAGAGUACGGUAGAGGGGGAUGGAAUUCCGCGUGUAGCAGUGAAAUGCGUAGAUAUGCGGAGGAACACCGAUGGCGAAGGCAAUCCCCUGGACCUGUACUGACGCUCAUGCACGAAAGCGUGGGGAGCAAACAGG
rnacentral:rRNA from 1 species